rnacentral:rRNA from 1 species
AACGUAGGGGGCGAGCGUUGUCCGGAAUUACUGGGCGUAAAGCGUGCGCAGGCGGCCCGUUAAGACAGGUGUGAAAUCCCUGGGCUCAACCUAGGAAUUGCGCUUGUGACUGGCGGGCUCGAGUACGGUAGAGGGGGGUGGAAUUCCUGGUGUAGCGGUGGAAUGCGUAGAUAUCAGGAGGAACACCGGAGGCGAAAGCGGCUAUCUGGCGCACACCUGACGCUGAGGCACGAAAGCUAGGGGAGCAAACAGG